rnacentral:lncRNA from 1 species
AUGUAUCGUCUGGCAGUUGUAUGUAUCGUCAGACUGUCCCAUGUAUCGUCUGGCAGUUGUAUGUAUCGUCAGACUGUCACAUGUAUCGUCUGGCAGUUGUAUGUAUCGUCAGACUGUCCCAUGUAUCGUCUGGCAGUGGUAUGUAUCGUCAGACUGUCCCAUGUAUCGUCUGGCAGUUGUAUGUGUCGUCAGACUGUCCCAUGUAUCGUCUGGCAGUUGUAUGUGUCGUCAGACUGUUUCAUGUAUCGUCUGGCAGUUGUAUGUAUCGUCAGACUGUUUCAUGUAUCGUCUGGCAGUUGUAUGUAUCGUCAGACUGUUUCAUGUAUCGUCUGGCAGUUGUAUGUGUCGUCAGACUGUUUCAUGUAUCGUCUGGCAGUUGUAUGUGUCGUCAGACUGUCCCAUGUAUCGUCUGGCAGUUGUAUGUGUCGUCAGACUGUUUCAUGUAUCGUCUGGCAGUUGUAUGUGUCGUCAGACUGUUUCAUGUAUCGUCUGGCAGUUGUAUGUAUCGUCAGACUGUUUCAUGUAUCGUCUGGCAGUUGUAUGUGUCGUCAGACUGUUUCAUGUAUCGUCAGACUGUUUCAUGUAUCGUCUGGCAGUUGUAUGUGUCGUCAGACUGUUUCAUGUAUCGUCAGACUGUUUCAUGUAUCGUCUGGCAGUUGUAUGUGUCGUCAGACUGUUUCAUGUAUCGUCUGGCAGUUGUAUGUGUCGUCAGACUGUUUCAUGUAUCGUCAGACUGUUUCAUGUAUCGUCUGGCAGUUGUAUGUGUCGUCAGACUGUUUCAUGUAUCGUCUGGCAGUUGUAUGUAUCGUCAGACUGUUUCAUGUAUCGUCUGGCAGUUGUAUGUAUCGUCAGACUGUUUCAUGUAUCGUCUGGCAGUUGUAUUUAUCGUCAGACUGUUUCAUGUAUCGUCUGGCAGUUGUAUUUAUCGUCAGACUGUUUCAUGUAUCGUCUGGCAGUUGUAUUUAUCGUCAGACUGUUUCAUGUAUCGUCUGGCAGUUGUAUGUAUCGUCAGUGUCACGACUUCUACCGAAGGUAACUCCUCUCCCUGUUCGGGCGGCGCUCGGUGCUCGGCGUCGCCGGUCUACUAGCCGCUACCGAUCCCUUUUUCUUUUUCUGGUUGUUUUGUCUGUGUUCCUUUUCACACCUGGUUUCAAUUGCUUUGAUUUCUGUGGGUAUAUAGGGCACCUGUUACCUGCCGUAAUUCGUGCAGGAUUAAGCUUGUGA